rnacentral:rRNA from 1 species
UGCUUUACACAUGCAAGUCGAACGGUAGAGGGGGCAACCCCUCGAGAGUGGCGAACGGGUGAGUAAUAUAUCGGAACGUGCCCAGUCGUGGGGGAUAACGUAGCGAAAGUUACGCUAAUACCGCAUACGAUCUAAGGAUGAAAGCGGGGGAUCGCAAGACCUCGCGCGAUUGGAGUGGCCGAUAUCAGAUUAGGUAGUUGGUGGGGUAAAGGCUCACCAAGCCAACGAUCUGUAGCUGGUCUGAGAGGACGACCAGCCACACUGGAACUGAGACACGGUCCAGACUCCUACGGGAGGCAGCAGUGGGGAAUUUUGGACAAUGGACGCAAGUCUGAUCCAGCCAUUCCGCGUGCAGGAUGAAGGCCCUCGGGUUGUAAACUGC